rnacentral:rRNA from 1 species
UACGUAGGGAGCAAGCGUUGUCCGGAAUCAUUGGGCGUAAAGAGCGCGUAGGCGGCCCUGUAAGUCCGUUCUGAAAGUCAAAGGCUCAACCUUUGAAAGCGGAUGGAUACUGCAGGGCUAGAGUCCGGAAGAGGCGAGUGGAAUUCCUGGUGUAGCGGUGGAAUGCGCAGAUAUCAGGAAGAACACCCGUGGCGAAAGCGGCUCUCUGGAACGGUACUGACGCUGAGACGCGAAAGCGUGGGGAGCGAACAGG